AUGCAUCUGUUUGACAGACCUGGAGCAAACGGCCGUUGCUUCUCUGGUUCUUGCUGAGAUGCAACAGUAACAGGUUCCUUGCGCUUUCUACCUGUCUGACCUUGUGGCAGUCUGGAUUGAAUAAAGGAACACAAAA
ensembl:snoRNA